AGCGAACGCUGGCGGCGUGCCUAACACAUGCAAGUCGAACGUGAAAAGGGAAACCUGAGUAAAGUGGCGUACGGGUGAGUAACGCGUAGGUAAUCUACCCCAGAAUCUGGAAUAACCUGCCGAAAGGCGGGCUAAUACUGGAUAGAGCGAGGGAACUCGUAAGAGAGUUUUUCGGGAAAGGGAGCCCGCAAGGGCCUUCGUUCUGGGAUGAGCCUGCGUCUCAUUAGCUAGUCGGUAAGGUAACGGCUUACCAAGGCGAUGAUGAGUAGCUGGUCUGAGAGGAUGAUCAGCCACACUGGAACUGAAACACGGUCCAGACUCCUACGGGAGGCAGCAGUGGGGAAUCUUGCGCAAUGGACGAAAGUCUGACGCAGCCACGCCGCGUGAGUGAAGAAGGCCUUCGGGUUGUAAAGCUCUGUCGGAUGGGACGAACAUCUUCAUAGUGAAUAGCUAUGAGGACUGACGGUACCAUCAAAGGAAGCACCGGCUAACUCCGUG
rnacentral:rRNA from 1 species